AUGAGAUAAAGCAUGAGCCUCGCCGCUCCGUUCGCCGCGGCUCUCCUCUGCGACGUCGCGGUCGCUCCCGCGUUCGUUCGCCUCCCGAGGCUCAGGACCUCCGUCGGCGGCGAGGACGGCGCCGGCGACGAGCCCGUCUUCCGUCACGGGGGCCCGCGGAUUCGCGCGCGUUCGGCUUCGGCCGGCGGUGGAAGAGCUUCGCUCGCCGUCUCGCAGCUCCGACGGCGGAAGGAAGGCGGUUCGAGCGCGACGCGCGGCUGCGCGGCCCUUUCUUCUGGAAAUGGCGCGGAUUCACGGCGAGUCUCCGGAGGAGAUUUCGUGGUCGUGAGUUUCUACCGCUUCGUGCGCGUUGAGAACCCGGAGGAGGAGGUCGCGAAGCACCUCGCGUUCUUGAAGGAUCUUGAUAUACACGGUCGGAUAUAUCUCAAUGCGCAAGGGAUUAAUGCGCAGUACAGUGGGCCACUGGCAGAUGCUCGCUCAUAUUUUGAAUGGUUGAGAGAAAAUGACAGAUUCUCGGAUAUACUAAUUCAGAUCUCUCCUGCUCUAAGUGGGCAUGCAUUCCCUAAAUUGAAAGUGCAAUUUAAGCCCUUGGUACAGGUGGAUGGAGGUAUUGCCCAUCUUCCCCUGCUCAACACUUCUAUGAGAGCAACACCUUUAGAACCUUCUGAAUGGAAGAAACGAGUUGUAGCACUAAGUAGAAGCCGUGAUGCAUCCAGUGGGAAUGUGGAUUCAGACUGCAUCAUACUGGAUCUAAGGAAUGGCUAUGAGUGGGAUAUUGGCCAUUUUCAGGGGGCUCGACGUCCUGAAGUUGACUGUUUUAGGAGCACUUCAUUUGGUCUAUCUGAGACAGAGGUCAAUGAUUCAGAUCCCCUAGCAGAUGUCAAUAAAGAGAAAACAGAUGUACUUAUGUACUGUACCGGCGGUAUCCGCUGUGAUGUGUAUUCUACCAUUUUAAGAAAAAAGGGAUUUAAGAGGUUGUACACUUUAAAGGGAGGUGUCUCUCACUAUCUUGAGAAUGAAGGUCCAGUGGAAUGGGUUGGCAACUUGUUUGUGUUUGACUCCCGCCUCUCUCUCCCUCCUGCUGCCUACAACCCUAGAUCCGCGACACAAACAUGUGACCUGCAGCAUGCUAUUAAGAAUGAAAAAUUCGCAAAAUGCUAUCUGUGCGGUUCAGUAGUCCAAGAGUUGAGACAUCGGAAUUGUGCAAAUCUUGAUUGCAACCUGCUUUUUCUAUGCUGUCCAGACUGUGUGAGCAGUUUCAGAGGAUGCUGCUGUUCGACUUGUAUGACUGCUCCUCGGCUUAGACCUGUUUUGCCUGGCCACCAGAGAUACGAGAAAUGGCAUCUUUAUAGAGAUUUGGAAAUACAACCAAGUUGACAUUUUAAGUUUCACAUGUGGCUGUGGAAAACCUUUGAGGUGACAUAUUUCUGCUUCUCUCCCGUUUCUGCUCGAAGAGUUGAGUACUGGGGGAUCAUGAUCUUGGAAAUGACUCUGAUGAGGCACUGCUUGAUCUUUACUGGGGAACUGCUAUUGAAAGUAUCAUGGAGGAGAAUCUGAUAACAUUUCGGGGUUCCCUGGACCCUACGUUGUUUCUUGGAGUUAACAUUAUCAGAUUAACUUUACGAGGUCGUGGGCUAUGUAUUGUCCUCAUCAUGGAUGAUUUUACACAUAACAAAUCCGUAGUGGAGAAGUAUUCGACCUUCUAAGGUCAGUCACUCGCAUGCCCGAGGAACGCAUCUCUUUGAAUCUGCUCUGCUGUUGCUUUUGAAAGAUCAGCUUUUGUUUACUCUCCUGUGUCGGUUGUGGAAGAUAACCUGAUCGUGUUCGGUUUCGUGUCGGGGUGGGAAACUGUUAGUAAAGAUGGAUUGAUGGGGUGAAUUUGAUGUCCUUGUGCUUUCCCAACCUGGGAUCGUAACACCUAUAUUGAAUUGCUUUAAACUA